UGCGCCGCCGCCGUCUCAUCCCCCCAACCCCCAGAUGUUCUGCAACUGGAGACUGUUUCCAUGUUCUGUCUGUGGCCGCAGCCUUUUCACAAUGGAGGAAGAUCCGGCGGCGGCGGGGUGGGGGGUGCGGAGGACGGAGCAGACAGAGCUUCUCAGAUGUGCCCCAGCCCCCAGACCCAGCCGGUCUCCCUCCGCAGCCGGAACCCCGCUUCCCAGCCUGGACACACCCGCCCCCCGCCCCCACUACGGACCUUUUGCUUCGGAGUGAUUUCCGUUUUAAUUUGCGUCUCAUCGCUGCCCGAGAGUGCAGGCAGCUUUCCAUAUCCAGGCUUGUGUUUCCACUUGCAUGGACCCUCUGUUUAUCCUUUAUCUCCUCAGUCUGCGGGAGCUCUUUGCACAGGCGGGGAAUUAAACCUUCGGAUUACA